UAAUACGAAGGGGGCUAGCGUUGUUCGGAAUUACUGGGCGUAAAGCGUAUGCAGGCGGAUCGCUAAGUCAGGGGUGAAAUCCCGAGGCUCAACCUCGGAACUGCCUUUGAUACUGACGAUCUUGAGUCCGGGAGAGGUGAGUGGAACUGCGAGUGUAGAGGUGAAAUUCGUAGAUAUUCGCAAGAACACCAGUGGCGAAGGCGGCUCACUGGCCCGGUAC
rnacentral:rRNA from 1 species